rnacentral:rRNA from 1 species
AUUGAACGCUGGCGGCAGGCCUCACACAUGCAAGUCGACCGAGUGGCGGACGGGUGAGUAAUGUCUGGGAAACUGCCCGAUGGAGGGGUAUAACUACUGGAAACGGUAGCUAAUACCGCAUACCAUCGGAUUUGCCCAGAUGGGAUUAGCUAGUAGGUGGGGUAACGGCUCACCUAGGCGAAGAUCCCUAGCUGGUCUAAGAGGAUGACCAGCCACACUGGAACUGAGACACGGGCCAGACUCCUACGGGAGGCAGAAGUGGGGAAUAUUGCACAAUGGGGGCAAGCCUGAUGAAGCAAGGCCGCGGGUAUGAAGAAGGCCUUCGGGUUGUAAAGUACUUGCAGCGAGGAGGCGUUACUCGCAGAAGAAGCACCGGCUAACUCCGUGCCAGCAGACGCGGUAAUUC